UACGUAGGGUGCAAGCGUUGUCCGGAAUUAUUGGGCGUAAAGAGCUCGUAGGCGGUUUGUCGCGUCUGCUGUGAAAACGCGAGGCUCAACCUCGCGCCUGCAGUGGGUACGGGCAGACUGGAGUGCGGUAGGGGAGAUUGGAAUUCCUGGUGUAGCGGUGGAAUGCGCAGAUAUCAGGAGGAACACCGAUGGCGAAGGCAGAUCUCUGGGCCGUAACUGACGCUGAGGCACGAAAGCGUGGGUAGCAAACAGG
rnacentral:rRNA from 1 species